AUGGAGAGGGUUUGGGGGUCCCUGGGGAGGGUUUGGGGGUCCUUGGGUGCCCUGGGGGGGAUUUUGGGGGUCCCUGGGGAGGAUUUUGGGGAUCCCUGGGAGGGUUUUGGGGGUCCCUGGGUCCCUCCCCGAUUUCUGGGGAGGAUUUUGGGGGUCCCUGGGGGGGAUUUUGGGGGGUCUCUGGGGGGGAUUUUGGGGAUCCCUGGGGGGGUUUUGGGGGUCCCUGGGGGAGAUUUUGGGGGUCCCCGGGGUGGAUUUUGGGGGUCCCUGGGGGGGUUUUUGGGUUCUCUGGGGGGAUUUGGGGGGUCCCUGGGGGGGAUUUUGGGGGUCCCUGGGUGCCCUGGGGGGGAUUUUGGGGGUCCCUGGGGGGGUUUUGGGGGUCCCUGGGGGGAUUUUGGGGGUCCCUGGGGGGAUUUUGGGGGUCCCUGGGGAGGAUUUUGGGGGUCCCCGGGUACCUCCCCGAUUUCUGGGGAGGAUUUUGGGGGUCCCUGGGUGCCCUGGGGGGGAUUUUGGGGGUCCCUGGGGAGGGUUUGGGGGUCCCUGGGUGCCUUGGGGGGGAUUUUGGGGGUCCCUGGGGGGGAUUUUGGGGGUCCCUGGAGGGGGUUUGGGGGUUCCUGGGGGGAAUUUUGGGGGUCUCUGGGGGGAUUUUGGGGGUCCCUGGGGGGAUUUUGGGGGUCCCUGGGUCCCUCCCCGAUUUCUGGGGGGGAUUUUGGGGGUCUCUGGGGAGGAUUUUGGGGGUCCCUGGAAAGAGUUUGGGGGUCCGUGGGUGCCCUGGGGGGGAUUUUGGGGGUCCCUGGGGGGUUUGGGGGUCCCUGGGGGGAUUUUGGGGGUCCCUGGGGAGGAUUUUGGGGGUCCCUGGGGAGGAUUUUGGGGGUCCUCAUGGAUGUCCCCCUCCAGCACGACCCCACCCGAAGCCUCGGGACCCCCCCGGGGACCCCCCUGAGGGGGUGGGGGAGGGGCUGGAGCCCCCCAAAAAUGAGGAGGAGGAGGAGGAGGAGACCUGGAUGGACGGUGAGGGGGGGCUGGGGGGUUUGGGGGGGCCCUGAGGGUGAUUUUUGGGGUUCCCGUUGUGAUUUUGGGGGUUCCAGUGUUGAUUUUGGGAGUUCGGGGGGGGUUCCCAUGUUGAUUUUUGGGGUUUGGGGGGAAUCCCUUGGUGAUUUUUGGGGUUCCUAUGUUGAUAUUUGGGGUUCCCAAGUUGAUAUUUGGGGUUCCCGUGGUGAUUUUUGGGGUUCCCAUGUUGAUUUUUGGGGUUCCCGUGGUGAUUUUUGGGGUUCCCAUGUUGAUUUUGGGGUUCCCAUGUUGAUAUUUGGGGUUCCCGUGCUGAUUUUUCGGGUUCCUAUGUUGAUUUUUGGGGUUCCCUUACUGAUUUUUGGGGUUCCCAAGUUGAUAUUUGGGGUUCCCGUGGUAAUUUUUGGGGUUCCCGUGGUGAUUUUUGGGGUUCCCAAGUUGAUAUUUGGGGUUCUCGUGGUGAUUUUUGGGGUUCCCAUGUUGAUAUUUGGGGUUCCUGUGGUAAUUUUUGGGGUUCCCGUGGUGAUUUUUGGGGUUCCCGUGUUGAUAUUUGGGGUUCCCAAGUUGAUAUUUGGGGUUCCCGUGGUGAUUUUGGGGUUCCCAAGGUGAUUUUUGGGGUCCCCCCGCUGAUUUUGGGGUGCAGAGGACUCGCGGACCUUCUCGCAGUUUCUGCUGCUGAUGGAGCAGCAGCGGCAGCUGCACGAGCUGCAGCGGGAGGUGGAGCAGGUGGGACCCCAAAACCCCAAAUUCCCACAAAAUCCCCCCAAAAUCCCCCAAAAUCCCUCCCUGAACCCCAAAAUCUCCCCAAAUCCCCCAAAUCCCCCCAAAAUCCCCCCAAAUCCCCCCAAAAUCCCCCAAAACCCCUCCCCACACCCCACACAAAAUCCUCCUGAAACUCCCCCAAAUCCUCUCCAGACACCCCAA
rnacentral:lncRNA from 1 species